rnacentral:rRNA from 1 species
CGUAGGGUCCAAGCGUUAUCCGGAUUUAUUGGGCGUAAAGCACAUGUAGGUGGAUUGUAUAAGUCUCGUCUUAAAGCUCUGGGCUCAACCCAGAAUCUGGAUGAGAUACUAUCUUUCUCGUGGUCAGCAGGGGCAAACGGAAUUCCCGGUGUAGGAGUGAAAUCCGUUGAUAUCGGGAGGAACACCAAUGGCGAAGGCAGUUUGCUAGGCUGAUUCAGACACUGAGAUGUGAAAGCGUGGGGAGCGAACGGGAUUAGAUACCCCGGUAGUCCACGCCGUAAACGAUGCACACUAGGCAUUGGGAGUAUCGACCCUUCUUGUGCCGAAGCUAACGCGUUAAGUGUGCCGCCUGGGAAGUACGGUCGCAAGACUA